GGUCACCUGACAGAGGGCAGAAAUCUUAUUUAAGGGAGGAUGCGCUCUAGGCUCUUUCUCUCAGUCUCACUAGCUGACCGUUGCCAGACAACAGAAGAGGGUGGGCGAGAGGCCUUACUUGCCUGAUCCACUAGCUGGCCUGAGGACUCACAAGAAGAGGGUGUUGCUUUGAAACACCUUUCAGAGCUGGAUGAAGAAGGUGCCAUAUGAACAGACAUCCUGGAAUGAAAAGAGAUGAAGGACACCUGAAAUUCUGACACAGGAGGAGGAGGACCACAGUUAUGAUGGUAGAGCUCUUGAAGAUCAUGAUGGGGAUGAAGACAGGGCCAAAAGGAUACAAAAUAACAGUGACGUGAACGGACGAAAAAAGAAAGAAACGAUGACAUCUCCGGCCUUUAAUUUUUCCAUAUGAAAGGUGUAACCACAACAAAAUAGAGAGGAAAAAAAUCCACCCCCAACAAGCAAAGAUGGAACACACAAUGGAAAAAAUACUUAAGAAAAUAGGAUCAAACACCAGCUCUAGUUUUUACCACAAAGAGCCAAGCUGAUUUUUCAUAAAAUAAAAAGUCCCUGAAUUGAGAAAUAUGUCUCUCUCUUAGAUUGGAUUGUGCA